UGACGAACGCUGGCGGCGUGCCUAAUACAUGCAAGUCGAACGCUUCUUUCCUCCCGAGUGCUUGCACUCAAUUGGAAAGAGGAGUGGCGGACGGGUGAGUAACACGUGGGUAACCUACCCAUCAGAGGGGGAUAACACUUGGAAACAGGUGCUAAUACCGCAUAACAGUUUAUGCCGCAUGGCAUAAGAGUGAAAGGCGCUUUCGGGUGUCGCUGAUGGAUGGACCCGCGGUGCAUUAGCUAGUUGGUGAGGUAACGGCUCACCAAGGCCACGAUGCAUAGCCGACCUGAGAGGGUGAUCGGCCACACUGGGACUGAGACACGGCCCAGACUCCUACGGGAGGCAGCAGUAGGGAAUCUUCGGCAAUGGACGAAAGUCUGACCGAGCAACGCCGCGUGAGUGAAGAAGGUUUUCGGAUCGUAAAACUCUGUUGUUAGAGAAGAACACGGACGUUAGUAACUGAACGUCCCCUGACGGUAUCUAACCAGAAAGCCACGGCUAACUACGUGCCAGCAGCCGCGGUAAUACGUAAGUGGCAAGCGUUGUCCGGAUUUAUUGGGCGUAAAGCGAGCGCAGGCGGUUUCUUAAGUCUGAUGUGAAAGCCCCCGGCUCAACCGGGGAGGGGCAUUGGAAACUGGGAGACUUGAGUGCAGAGAAGAGAAGUGAAAUUCCAUGUGUAGCGGUGAAAUGCGUAGAUAUAUGGAGGAACACCAGUGGCGAAGGCGGCUCUCUGGUCUGUAACUGACGCUGAGGCUCGAAAGCGUGGGGAGCAAACAGGAUUAGAUACCCUGGUAGUCCACGCCGUAAACGAUGAGUGCUAAGUGUUGGAGGGUUUCCGCCCUUCAGUGCUGCAGCAAACGCAUUAAGCACUCCGCCUGGGGAGUACGACCGCAAGGUUGAAACUCAAAGGAAUUGACGGGGGCCCGCACAAGCGGUGGAGCAUGUGGUUUAAUUCGAAGCAACGCGAAGAACCUUACCAGGUCUUGACAUCCUUUGACCACUCUAGAGAUAGAGCUUUCCCUUCGGGGACAAAGUGACAGGUGGUGCAUGGUUGUCGUCAGCUCGUGUCGUGAGAUGUUGGGUUAAGUCCCGCAACGAGCGCAACCCUUAUUAUUAGUUGCCAUCAUUUAGUUGGGCACUCUAGCGAGACUGCCGGUGACAAACCGGAGGAAGGUGGGGAUGACGUCAAAUCAUCAUGCCCCUUAUGACCUGGGCUACACACGUGCUACAAUGGGAAGUACAACGAGUCGCUAGACCGCGAGGUCAUGCAAAUCUCUUAAAGCUUCUCUCAGUUCGGAUUGCAGGCUGCAACUCGCCUGCAUGAAGCCGGAAUCGCUAGUAAUCGCGGAUCAGCACGCCGCGGUGAAUACGUUCCCGGGCCUUGUACACACCGCCCGUCACACCACGAGAGUUUGUAACACCCGAAGUCAGUGAGGUAACCUUUUUGGAGCCAGCCGCC
rnacentral:rRNA from 1 species